CCUGGUGGCUCAGACAGUAAAGUAUCUGCUUGCAAUGCAGGAGACCUGGGUUCAAUCCCUGGGUCAGGA
rnacentral:tRNA from 1 species